rnacentral:lncRNA from 1 species
UGCACCUUGAGAACCUUUAAACCAAAGAUUGAAAAUUUAAAAUCUUUAAUUAAGGCUUUUACCUUUUAAUCUUACUUUGCAUCUUUUUGGAAUUUUCCAACCCAUGGGGUUUUUGACAAUAGAAAAGGGUUUAUUGCAAUAAGAUAAGCUACCCCAUAAUUUUUGGUAUUUAAUUUGGAGUUGAAAAACUAUUUUGUAUUUAAAUAAUAUUGCACUAGAGGCAAUUAUAUAAGCCAAACUAUUUUGAAUAAUUUACAUUUGGAAGAAAUCAAGUCCCAGAUGCUAUAGCAUUUGAGGAUAUGAUUUUACAAAUUUUCUAGAAUUUAUUUGAGUCCAUUUGGAGUUGAAAAUCAAAAGUUAUAAAGGAAAAACAGAAAAAGAAAAGGAGAAACAAAAAGAACAAAAAAAAAGGAAACGGACCGGCCCGGCCGAAUGGGCCAAACCGGCCCAGCCAGCCCGCUAGCGCCCUGCGCGCCCGAGCUAAGCCACUGACAGGUGGAUAAGAGCAGAAUCUAGCCUAAACGCACCUUAAUGGCUGAGCUUUCAAGACGCGAUUUAGGGCGCCAUGAAGCCCCAUCUUAACUGCCCCGCACGCCACUAUAAACCUGCUAGCCCCCUCUCCAUUUCCCUGCUCACUCUCACUCCACCUCGGCGCUCACGCCGCCGAAAUUUCUCACCGAACAUGCCGCUGUCGCCGCCGGUCUUGGGGUCGCUGUUGUGACACUGGUGAGCAAUAGACCCGGAGCCCGACUUUUUCCUCUCUCUCUCGUCCUUGCGCAC